rnacentral:rRNA from 1 species
GACGAACGCUGGCGGCGUGCUUAACACAUGCAAGUCGAACGGAAAGGCCCUGCUUUUGUGGGGUGCUCGAGUGGCGAACGGGUGAGUAACACGUGAGUAACCUGCCCUUGACUUUGGGAUAACUUCAGGAAACUGGGGCUAAUACCGGAUAGGAGCUCCUGCUGCAUGGUGGGGGUUGGAAAGUUUCGGCGGUUGGGGAUGGACUCGCGGCUUAUCAGCUUGUUGGUGGGGUAGUGGCUUACCAAGGCUUUGACGGGUAGCCGGCCUGAGAGGGUGACCGGCCACAUUGGGACUGAGAUACGGCCCAGACUCCUACGGGAGGCAGCAGUGGGGAAUAUUGCACAAUGGGCGGAAGCCUGAUGCAGCAACGCCGCGUGCGGGAUGACGGCCUUCGGGUUGUAAACCGCUUUCGCCUGUGACGAAGCGUGAGUGACGGUAAUGGGUAAAGAAGCACCGGCUAACUACGUGCCAGCAGCCGCGGUGAUACGUAGGGUGCGAGCGUUGUCCGGAUUUAUUGGGCGUAAAGGGCUCGUAGGUGGUUGAUCGCGUCGGAAGUGUAAUCUUGGGGCUUAACCCUGAGCGUGCUUUCGAUACGGGUUGACUUGAGGAAGGUAGGGGAGAAUGGAAUUCCUGGUGGAGCGGUGGAAUGCGCAGAUAUCAGGAGGAACACCAGUGGCGAAGGCGGUUCUCUGGGCCUUUCCUGACGCUGAGGAGCGAAAGCGUGGGGAGCGAACAGGCUUAGAUACCCUGGUAGUCCACGCUGUAAACGGUGGGUACUAGGUGUGGGGUCCAUUCCACGGGUUCCGUGCCGUAGCUAACGCUUUAAGUACCCCGCCUGGGGAGUACGGCCGCAAGGCUAAAACUCAAAGGAAUUGACGGGGCCCCGCACAAGCGGCGGAGCAUGCGGAUUAAUUCGAUGCAACGCGUAGAACCUUACCUGGGUUUGACAUGGAUCGGGAGUGCUCAGAGAUGGGUGUGCCUCUUUUGGGGUCGGUUCACAGGUGGUGCAUGGCUGUCGUCAGCUCGUGUCGUGAGAUGUUGGGUUAAGUCCCGCAACGAGCGCAACCCUUGUUCACUGUUGCCAGCACGUUAUGGUGGGGACUCAGUGGAGGCCGCCGGGGUCAACUCGGAGGAAGGUGGGGGUGACGUCAAGUCAUCAUGCCCCUUAUGUCCAGGGCUUCACGCAUGCUACAAUGGCUGGUACAGAGAGUGGCGAGCCUGUGAGGGUGAGCGAAUCUCGGAAAGCCGGUCUCAGUUCGGAUUGGGGUCUGCAACUCGACCUCAUGAAGUCGGAGUCGCUAGUAAUCGCAGAUCAGCAACGCUGCGGUGAAUACGUUCCCGGGGCU